rnacentral:rRNA from 1 species
UGGGGAAUAUUGCGCAAUGGGGGAAACCCUGACGCAGCGACGCCGCGUGAGUGACGAAGUCUUUCGGGAUGUAAAGCUCUGUCAAGUGAGACGAUAAUGACGGUAUCACUAAAGGAAGCUCCGGCUAACUACGUGCCAGCAGCCGCGGUAAUACGUAGGGAGCGAGCGUUACCCGGAUUAAUUGGGCAUAAAGGGCGUGUAGGCGGUAGUUUAAGUCAGAUGUUAAAGAUCUAGGCUCAACCUGGAUUUGCAUUUGAUACUGGAUUACUAGAGGUCAGUAGAGGAAAGCGGAACUCAUGGUGUAGCGGUGAAAUGCGUAGAUAUCAUGAGGAACACCAGUUGCGAAGGCGGCUUUCUGGCCUGAUUCUGACGCUGAGGCGCGAAAGCGUGGGGAGCAAACGGG